rnacentral:rRNA from 1 species
GUCCACGCAGUAAACUAUGAGUGCUAGUUGUCGGGCCCUUAGGGUUCGGUGGCGAAGCUAACGCGUUAAGCACUCCGCCUGGGGACUACGAUCGCAAGAUUAAAACUCAAAGGAAUUGACGGGGACCCGCACAAGCAGUGGAUCAUGUGGUUUAAUUCGAUGCUACACGAAAAACCUUACCAACUCUUGAAUCCCAUUGACCGGUACAGAGAUGUACUUUUGGAGCAAUCCACAGUGGAGACAGGUGUUGCAUGGCUGUCGU